AAACUCCUGGUUAUAAGGGGGUGGAACCCAAUAACAGAUCUGUUAUUGGGUUCCACCCCCUUAUAACCAGGAGUUU